GAUGAAGAACGCAGCGAAAUGCGAUACGUAAUGUGAAUUGCAGAAUUCAGUGAAUCAUCGAAUCUUUGAACGCAUAUUGCGCUCUUUGGUAUUCCGAAGAGCAUGCUUGUUUGAGUAUCAGUAAACACCUCAAAGCUUUUGGAUUUUUUAAUCGAAAAGCUUUGGACUUGAGCAAUCCCAACACCAAUCUUUUUGAGAUCGGUGGCGGGUUGCUUGAAAUGCAGGUGCAGCUGGACAUUCUCCUGAGCUAAAAGCAUAUUCAUUUAGUCCCGUCAAACGGAUUAUUACUUUUGCUGCAGCUAACAUAAAGGGAGUGUGACCGUAUUGGCUGACUGAUGCAGGAUUUCACAAGGGUCGGCAACGAUUCUUGUUAAACUCGAUCUCAAAUCAAGUAAGACUACCCGCUGAACUUAAGCAUAUCAAUAAGCGGAGGA
rnacentral:misc_RNA from 1 species